rnacentral:rRNA from 1 species
UACGGGGGGGUGCGAGCGUUGUCCGGAAUCACUGGGCGUAAAGGGCGCGUAGGUGGCCUGAUAAGGGUGUGGUGAAAGUCCGGGGCUUAACCCCGGAUCUGCCGUGCCGACUGUUAGGCUAGAGUGCUGUAGGGCAGGCGGAAUUCCGGGUGUAGCGGUGGAAUGCGUAGAGAUCCGGAGGAAGACCGGUGGCGAAGGCGGCCUGGCUGGGCAGAUACUGACACUGAGGCGCGACGAGCGUGGGGAGCAAACAG